rnacentral:rRNA from 1 species
AUUGAACGCUGGCGGUAGGCCUUACACAUGCAAGUCGAACGGCAGCACAGUUAGUUCUUGCUCUUACGGGUUGCGAGUGGCGUGCGUGUUAGAUAUAAAUCUGUAUUUACUUUUUCGUUGGCGCUACCGUAGGCAAAUUUAUGCUACUUCCGCACACCACCUACGGGUGAAAGCACGUCAUCUUUCGACCUUGCGCGUUUGCCUGUGCCGAUGUCGGAUUAGCUAGUUGGCGGGGUAAAGGCCCACCAAGGCGACGAUCAGUAGCUGGUCUGAGAGGAUGAUCAGCCACACUGGAACUGAGACACGGUCCAGACUCCUACGGGAGGCAGCAGUGGGGAAUAUUGGACAAUGGGCGCAAGCCUGAUCCAGCCAUGCCGCGUGGGUGAAGAAGGCCUUCGGGUUGUAAAGCACUUUUGUUGGGAAAGAAAAGCAGGAGGUUAAUACCGCGCGGGGAUGACGGUACCGAAAGAAUAAGCACCGGCUAACUACGUG